rnacentral:rRNA from 1 species
CCUACGGGAGGCAGCAGUGAGGAAUAUUGGUCAAUGGACGAGAGUCUGAACCAGCCAAGUAGCGUGAAGGAUGACUGCCCUAUGGGUUGUAAACUUCUUUUAUAAAGGAAUAAAAUGAUGCACGUGUGCCUUUUUGUAUGUACUUUAUGAAUAAGGAUCGGCUAACUCCGUGCCAGCAGCCGCGGUAAUACGGAGGAUCCGAGCGUUAUCCGGAUUUAUUGGGUUUAAAGGGAGCGUAGAUGGGUUGUUAAGUCAGUUGUGAAAGUUUGCGGCUCAACCGUAAAAUUGCAAUUGAUACUGGCAGUCUUGAGUACAGUAGAGGUAGGCGGAAUUCGUGGUGUAGCGGUGAAAUGCUUAGAUAUCACGAAGAACCCCGAUUGCGAAGGCAGCUUACUAGACUGUGACUGACACUGAGGCUCGAAAGUGUGGGUAUCAAACAGGAUUAGAUACCCCGGUAGUC